GUUGGGUUUUUGUUGCUUUGCUUGUGUAAAGAGCGCUUUCUGUCUUUUUUUUUUUCUUCUCUUCCAGGGCUAAUGAUUGUUACCCCCUAAAAUGUUCCUUUUUUUGGCCCCUUCUCUUUGCAAGAGCUAAAAGGCUCUCUGGCCAUGCCACUGCUCUCCUUUUGCAGUGUUUUGUGUGUGAAGCAAGAGAAGGUUCUGGGGAGGUAGAGUCUGGCUUCAGCCGGAGAAGCAGCAAGUAGGACACGCGCUGACCUUUGGCUUGCGUUGCGGCGUCUCGGGGAGAAGACAGCUUUGCCCGCACCAGCCGCCUGCCUUUGCUCGCGUGGGAAACACCGGUCCCGGGGUACCGUGAGGGGGAGAGAACAGAGAGGACCAAACCAGCAGGCACCGGAGAUGAACACGUGCAGAGCUGCGGAACGGCAGCAUGUAAUGGUGCACUAAUCGCCUUCUCUUUUCUCAGGUGCUGGCUCAAAAGUGACUCAGUACUUGAUCAAUACCUCUAG
rnacentral:lncRNA from 1 species